AACGUAGGAGGCGAGCGUUAUCCGGAGUUACUGGGCGUAAAGAGCGUGUAGGCGGGUAUGCAAGUUUGGCGUGAAAGCUCCGGGCUAAACUGGGAGAGUGCGCUGGAGACUGCAUGUCUAGAGGCGAGUAGAGGGACGUGGAAUUCCGGGUGUAGUGGUGAAAUGCGUAGAGAUCCGGAGGAACACCAGUGGCGAAGGCGACGUCCUGGGCUUGACCUGACGCUGAGACGCGACAGCACGGGGAGCGAACGGG
rnacentral:rRNA from 1 species